rnacentral:pre_miRNA from 1 species
AGUGUACUCCCUCCGUCCGGAAAUACUUGUCAGAGGAAUGGAUGUAUCUAGAUGUAUUUUAGUUUUAGAUACAUCCAUUUAUAUCCAUUUCUGUGACAAGUAUUUCUGGACGGAGGGAGUAUUAA